rnacentral:ncRNA from 14 species
CGUAGCUCAGCUGGUUAGAGCGCUACACUGAUAAUGUAGAGGUCGGCAGUUCGAGUCUGCCU